UUUCCUCAGGGCGCCCCACAAAAAAAUUUCAUUUCACCGCCAUGUGCUAAAAUCCCUCCACAAAUCGGCAGUUACUUAAUCUCAAUUCCCACUAUCUUAAACUGAUAUUCCUCUCCAAUAGGCAAGCUCCGGUAGACUUCCCAACAUCAAAUUCCACAAACUCAGAUUACCAAAACUUCACACAACUCUCAAUUCAGCGAUGGUAGCUGCGAGUGCAACCCCAAUCAAGGGCACCGGAGGCAGGCAAGGCGGCGACAGGAAGAAAUCAAAUAUCGAAAUCCGUCAAGGUGACGCUCCAAUUUCGGGUUGUGCGCUUGCCCGUUUUCUCAAUUCAGAACUUUGAAAUUUUCUCUUCACUUUCGAUGAGAUUUUAUAUUUGUUUCCAUGGAACCACCAGUUGAAACAAUUCUGUGACGAGAGCCUAGGAUUCUCUAAAAUUUUCAGCCGAAAAUAUCCAAGGUUCUCUUUUGACCUUUUCUUACUGCUUAUUCAAUGAAUCUACAUCUGGAUUGUUGACUUGUUCAAGAUGCUAAGUUUUAUAUGUUUAGAUUUGUGUUCUGUAUUACAUGUUGCAAAACUAAAUGGAGGUUCUAUAAAUAUUUGAACACUAGCUGUCUCAAAAUUUCAAUUUUAAAUAUUGAAGAAAGUUUCUGAUUUAG
rnacentral:lncRNA from 1 species